GUUUUCAUGAUUUAGUGCAGUUUUAUAUUUUAGUUUCUAUCGAGAAACGUCUUCAUCUCCCAACAAACUCGUCUCUCUCCCUCUUUUAAUCUGUUAAAGAAGAAGGAGGAGUUUAUUGAAGGAGCCACCGGGAAUCGACUGAGUGUUACAGUGGGAGUUAUGAGCCUUGUUCUAGUCUUCUGGUUUAGUCCAUAAAAAGAAUCUUGUAAAGGAACUGACCACCUGCCAAUACCUUACCCAUUCAUGUGUUCCUUUCUCUCAAGACUUUUCGUAUUGUGUAAUAUGCCGAGCAUCAUCCAGUGAGCUAAAAUGUUCCAAAUUUCAACAAAUAAAGUUGAUAUUUCUUUUUCGUAUUACAGGAAGACCUUCUUCCUACCUACCAGUACUUUCGUCAAGCAUCACAUCAGCAAUAAUAUAUAGUGCUUUUGCAGACACAUUUUCUGUGCCGAAGAACUCUUCACAUAUUAGUACAUUUAACAAACGAAGAUUUUGUGUGUAAACAUCGUGUUAGAUCAAGCUCGGAUUAUGUUGUAUCAUCAUUUGGAACUAUGUAACUUCCCCGUGGAUUUAUAAUUUAAAUUUUUCUUAUUCGAAAUAUUAAGUUCUUAUAUAUAUAAUAUUUGUGACUUGUCA